rnacentral:rRNA from 1 species
UACGGAGGGAGCUAGCGUUGUUCGGAAUUACUGGGCGUAAAGCGCACGUAGGCGGCUUUGUAAGUUAGAGGUGAAAGCCCGGGGCUCAACCCCGGAAUUGCCUUUAAGACUGCAUCGCUUGAAUCCGGGAGAGGUGAGUGGAAUUCCGAGUGAUAGAGGUGAAAUUCGUAGAUAUUCGGAAGAACACCAGUGGCGAAGGCGGCUCACUGGACCGGUAUUGACGCUGAGGUGCGAAAGCGUGGGGGAGCAAACAGG